rnacentral:rRNA from 1 species
UACGGGGGGGGUAAGCGUUGUUCGGAAUUACUGGGCGUAAAGGGCUCGUAGGCGGCCAACUAAGUCAUACGUGAAAUCCCUCAGCUUAACUGGGGAACUGCGUGUGAUACUGGAUGGCUUGGAUUUGGGAGAGGGAUGCGGAAUUCCAGGUGUAGCGGUGAAAUGCGUAGAUAUCUGGAGGAACACCGGUGGCGAAGGCGGCAUCCUGGACCAACAUUGACGCUGAGGAGCGAAAGCUAGGGGAGCAAACAGG